CAGUAGCCGCGGUAAUACGAAGGGUGCAAGCGUUACUCGGAAUUACUGGGCGUAAAGCGUGCGUAGGUGGUGGUUUAAGUCCGUUGUGAAAGCCCUGGGCUCAACCUGGGAAUUGCAGUGGAUACUGGGUCACUAGAGUGUGGUAGAGGAUAGUGGAAUUUCCGGUGUAGCAGUGAAAUGCGUAGAGAUCGGAAGGAACAUCUGUGGCGAAGGCGGCCAUCUGGGACAACACUGACGCUGAGGCACGAAAGCGUGGGGAGCAAACAGGAUUAGAUACCCCUGUAGUCCCUGUCUCUUAUAC
rnacentral:rRNA from 1 species